rnacentral:misc_RNA from 1 species
GCGAUAAUAACGUAAUAACCGCGGCCGACGACAGGAACCAGGAAAACGAAACCGAAAUAAAACGACGCGACAGCACGAGGGGGGACCGAUCAUAAAUUGCGCGAGCCCACGGCGAGCUCGAUCACCUUGAUUGCUGUCGGAAACAGGCGAAGCGUGGCGGAAGGGAAAAAGGCUGGCGGCAAUAAACGGAGUCCUCCCCCGCCCUGUCCUUCGUACAACACAACGCAUUGUACUACAGCCUGCCUCCGCACGCGCAACGCUGAUGGUAACGCGCGCACGCCGGAUGCGAGCUCCAUGUCGUGCCGCAUGAGUUGGCGUGCGGAGCGGUGCGCCGCUGCCGCUUGGCAGUGGAAGCAAGCGAGCGCGGUGUCAGGUGUACGACGCGCAUGAAAGGCUGGACUACGGUCCGUAGUGCGUCGUCGGUGCAAUGAACUUGCGCCGGCGACGGGCAGGGCGGCGGAGGAGGGACAUUCCUCGCCACAAAGCGGCGUGCAGCGCGGCGGCAACAGCCCGCAGCAGCGUUUGACGGCAGCCGGUGCGCCCCGCCAGCGAGACUCAUUUGCGUGAACGGCAACGGCGCGCUCCGCGAGCGAGCGAGCAGCCGCGCGAUCGAUCUGCCGCUGGGCGGUGCCUGCGAAAGGGAGGCGCGGGGUCCCCCCCGACUCCAUCGGAACAGGUGUUGCCAACGUCGACUGCCGCCGGACUUUGAACUCGAGCGUUUGCCGAGCACGGGCGCUUCCGGAGCCGGGGACGACGACGGCCCAGCUGGUCGGCUCCCGAGUCCGGCGUAACCCGGUGCCCCGUGCGAGGCCGAGGCCGGCGGCUCCGGCACACACCGUGGAAUGCGCCUGACACCGCCCGGCAUGCCCGAAGGCAGCGGCGGCGACACAAGGAUGCUGCGCGGAUCCCAGCUGGCGAGGGGGCCAGGCAGCCUGAAAGACUCGGAGCAGGGACCCAGGUCCCUGGGGGACAGCAGCGACUGUGGCAGUGGGGGAAGCCUGCUGAGUGUCGUGGGCAACGGUGGGGACAGCAGCUACGAACGCCGGCACGUGCACGAGGCGCACCUGCGCGAGGCCUUCCAGGCCAUGCACUGCAUGCAACUCAAGGGGCAGCUGUGCGAUGUGCGCCUGGUGGCCGGCAACCAGAGCCUGUUGGCGCACAGGCUCGUGCUGGCCGCCUCCAGCCCCUACUUCCACGCCAUGUUCAACAGUGACAUGUGUGAGAAGGCACAGGCUGAGGUGGUGCUUCAUGACAUCGCCUUCUCCGCCCUGCAGCAGCUCGUCGAAUUCGCCUACACUGGCGAAAUUGUCAUCACUGAGAGCAAUGUCCAGAGCCUGCUGCCCGCGGCCAGCUUGCUGCAGGUGGGCAGCGUGCGCGAGGCCUGCUGUGCCUUCCUGCUGGGACAGCUUCACCCGUCCAACUGCCUGGGCAUCCGCAGCUUUGCCGACACGCAUGCCUGCCGCGACCUGCUGGGCAAGAGCCACCGAUACGCCCUGCACCACUUCCGAGAGGUGGCGCACACCGACGAGUUCCUCAUGCUGCCUUUCUCGCAGGUGGAAGACCUGAUCUCCAGCGAUGAGCUCAAUGUCUCCUCGGAAGAGUUGGUCUACGAGGCCACUGUGGCCUGGAUCAAGCACGAUCUGCCCGAGAGGGAAAAGUACGUUGGCAAGCUGCUACAGCACUGUCGGCUGCCGUUGAUGCGUCGGGAGUUCCUGCUGUCCAAGGUGGGCGAGGAGCCGCUGGUGCGCUCGAGCGAGGAGAGCAAAGACCUGCUCAUCGAGGCCAUGCGCUACCACCUGAUGCCUGAGCGGCGCGCUGCCAUGGCUGGGCCACGCACCUCGCACCGCCGGCCCGAAGGCCUCCGCUCCUACCUCUUUGCCGUCGGUGGAGGCUCACUGUUUGCCAUCCACAGUGAGUGCGAGUACUACAACCCACGCACGGACCGCUGGAGCUCUUUCGCACCCACCAUCCACCGGAGGUCUCGAGCCGGCAUCACCGCACUGAACCGGAUGCUGUACGCCAUUGGCGGCUUUGACGGCACGCGAGACCUGUCAUCAGUGGAGUGCUACGACCCCGUGCGUAACACGUGGUCGCUGCUCCCAGGAUUGGGCAGCCGGCGCAGCUGCCUGGGAGUGGGAGCCCUGCGUGGCCUCAUCUAUGUGGCCGGUGGCUACGACGGGACGUCCUGCCUGAGCAGUGUGGAACAGUUUGACCCCCUCGUUGGUGCUUGGACCUCCGUGGCUGCUAUGGAGUAUCGUCGCCGAUACUGCCGCCUAGCCGUCCUCGAGGACUGCCUGUACGCCGUGGGGGGUCACGAUGGGGCCAACUACCAGUCGUCGGUGGAGCGGCUGGACCCGCGGGAGGGCCGCUGGCGGCUGCUGCCGUCGAUGCACAGCCGGCGCAACAGCUGCGGUGUGGCCGUCCUGGACCGGUCCCUCUACGCUGUCGGCGGAAAUGACGGCAGCCUCUGCCUCAGCAGCGCCGAGCGCUUCGACCUGGCCGCCAACAUGUGGGACCACGUCGGCUCCAUGCACUCCCGCAGGACGACACACGAAGUGGUCCAAGCCGACGGCUUCCUCUACGCCGUCGGCGGCAACGACGGCAGCUCAAGCCUCAACACUGUUGAGCGCUACGACCCACGGCAUAACAAGUGGAUGCUCGUCACUGCCAUGAUGCUUCGGCGAAGCAGCGUCGGCGCUGCUGUGCUAGAAUGCCCCAUACUAGAGCGCGCAAACUCUACGUCAUUUGCUUCGGUCAUUGGCGCCUCUUCUGAGCCCUGAGGUGCAUGCUUCCAGGCUUCCUCAUGAUUUGCUGAAGCCUUUUGGCUUUUUUUUUUUCUGUAUGGGGGCCACACAGCGUCAAGACUGUUGUUCUUUGGCAGUGCUCUGUUUGCCGAGGAUGAGUCGUUUUUUUGCAUUUCGCACGCCACUUCGCCAACCUGAGCCACGGUGGUUCGCCAGUCAGAUCGCCUUAAUUCCGCGUUCCUCGGCAGAGCACAGAGUUUCUCGGUUUGGAUGCUUCAAACAUUCACGUCACUUCCAUAGCUUGGCAGCAUUACUGUGAU